rfam:Ensifer sp. YIC4027 scaffold2, whole genome shotgun sequence.
UUGCUUGGGAAGUUUGAAGAGAGUCCCUGGCGGUGAAGCAACGCAGGUUCUCCUGGCGUGUCUUGGUGCAGCAGAUGUUCCCUCCCUCAUCUGUCUGCGAUGCGCCCCCCUUGCCUCGCUCGUCGACGCGACCAGCGAGGCAUUUU